rnacentral:rRNA from 1 species
CCCCUGAGUAGAGUGGCGUCCGGGUGAGUAACACGUGGGUAAUCUACCUUUGGGUGGGGAAUAACACCUCGAAAGAGGUGCUAAUACCGCAUAAUGCAGCGGCAGCAGAUGCUGAAUAGUUGUUAAAGCGGGGGAUUCGCAAGAACCUCGCGCCUGAAGAGGAGCCCGCGGCAGAUUAGCUAGUUGGUGAGGUAACGGCUCACCAAGGCGGCGAUCUGUAGCUGGUCUGAGAGGACGGCCAGCCACACUGGCACUGACAUACGGGCCAGACUCCUACGGGAGGCAGCAGUGGGGAAUUUUGGGCAAUGGGCGAAAGCCUGACCCAGCAACGCCGCGUGAGGGAGGAAAUCCUUCGGGAUGUAAACCUCACAAGCAAGGGAAGAGCGGAUAGGGGCUAAUACCCGCUAUCUUCGACGGUACCUUGCGUAAGCCACGGCUAACUACGUGCCAGCAGCCGCGGUAAUACGUAGGUGGCAAGCGUUGUUCGGAAUUAUUGGGCGUAAAGGGCGCGUAGGCGGUAGGUUAAGUCAGCUGUGAAAGCCCGGGGCUCAACCCCGGAGGGUCAGCUGAUACUGGCCAACUAGAGUACGGAAGAGGUAGCUGGAAUUCCCGGUGUAGCGGUGAAAUGCGUAGAUAUCGGGAGGAACACCUGAGGCGAAGGCGGGCUACUGGGCCGAUACUGACGCUGAGGCGCGAAAGCCAGGGGAGCGAACGGGAUU